rnacentral:rRNA from 1 species
CCUACGGGAGGCAGCAGUGGGGGAUAUUGCACAAUGGGGGAAACCCUGAUGCAGCGACGCCGCGUGGGUGAAGAAGUAUUUCGGUAUGUAAAGCCCUAUCAGCAGGGAAGAAAGAAGACGGUACCUGACUAAGAAGCCCCGGCUAACUACGUGCCAGCAGCCGCGGUAAUACGUAGGGGGCGAGCGUUAUCCGGAUUUACUGGGUGUAAAGGGAGCGUAGACGGUUAUGUAAGUCUGGAGUGAAAGCCCGGGGCCCAACCCCGGGACUGCUUUGGAAACUGUGUAACUGGAGUACAGGAGGGGCAGGCGGAAUUCCUGGUGUAGCGGUGAAAUGCGUAGAUAUCAGGAGGAACACCGGCGGCGAAGGCGGCCUGCUGGACUGAAACUGACGUUGAGGCUCGAAAGCGUGGGGAGCAAACAGGAUUAGAUACCCCAGUAGUC